AGCAGAACAGGCCAUGUCACAGGACUGGCUCACACAGUAGAAGGGACUUGUCUAAAGCGCAGGUACUCUUUGGAUCUCUGCGCAGGCAAACUUCCUAAGCUCCAUCCACAUCUCCACUGAAUGCUGUGUUGCUUUGAAAUUUCAUCAGCCCAACAAACUCAUCCACCCCUUUGAAUUCAGCCUCACUCAGAAGUGUCGUGCACCAGCACAGAGGAGCCAUGUUCUCCAGCAGGAUGUUCUCGAAAUGGCCUUCAGUUGGAUUUCUGAUCAAGCUCUCUCUUCUCUCCUGGAGCCUCAUGAACGUAGCCUUCCCUUCUCUCAACAUUCUGGCCUUCCACAAUCUCUUCUACAGGAUCACCUGCUCCACUCUGUUUGUGGUGUUUGAGGGCUUCUCUGGCCUGUGUAGCUACAAACUCUUUUACAUUCCUCUCCCAAACCACUUCCAACACACCAUUAGUCAUAUGUCUAGGUUUAUCACAACAACUCCCCUUACCAGUGCCACUAUCAAUAGUCUCAUGGUGCUGACGGAAGACUGUUUUGACUUGAGAAGUACAGUCCAGCAUGGUGAACAAAUCAUGGGCUGCAUUUGGUUUGUGGCAGACAGGGACCAAAGAGGAACUUGCCAGAACUAGAACCAGGCUUCAGGACAAAAGGCCUGCACCACAACAAACAACUUCCUUCAGCUGGGCUUCAUAUUCAAACAGUUCCACAGCCUCCCAAAACAGUGCCACCAGCUUGAGACUAAGUUCCCAAACUAAUGAGCCAUCCUUUGAAUCAUACUCAAAGCAUGACCAUGUGAACCAGUCUUUACACAUUCAUAUACUGGAUGCAGACACAUCUAGGUGAGGUGGUUCUAUACAAUUUUAUUAGGCUAGAAAAUCUGCAGCCUAGUGACUGAUUGAAGAACAAUACACUACUUGUCUGUGGUAAUGCUAUGAUCAAAAAUCAAAGUGCUGGUGGGGACUGGAGAGAUGGGGGUCACAUGCCAAGACCCCUCAAGCUAUAAUUUUCCUGAUUUCAAAAUGGAGUGAACAGACCUAUCAAGUCCUGCUCACUCCUGCAGCUCAGUCCUGCCUGCCUUGUGUUCAGAACACUUAAACUAAUUACACUGAGGCAAAGCCAUGCCACCCAAAGCCUAAUUUAUACUUAAGUGUUCAAUAUUAAACAUAGUCCUGAGAGAC
rnacentral:lncRNA from 1 species